rnacentral:rRNA from 1 species
CAUGGCCGUCGUCAGCUCGUGUCGUGAGAUGUUGGGUUAAGUCCCGCAACGAGCGCAACCCUUGUCAUUAGUUGCUACGAAAGGGCACUCUAAUGAGACUGCCGGUGACAAACCGGAGGAAGGUGGGGAUGACGUCAGGUCAUCAUGGCCCUUAUGGGUAGGGCUACACACGUCAUACAAUGGCCGGGACAGAGGGCUGCCAACCCGCGAGGGGGAGCUAAUCCCAGAAACCCGGUCGUAGUCCGGAUCGUAGUCUGCAACUCGACUGCGUGAAGUCGGAAUCGCUAGUAAUCGCGGAUCA